rnacentral:lncRNA from 1 species
AAAAUUUUCAGAAUUAUUUAAAUUAAAUUUUACAAUUUAAUAGAUAUAUAACUAUAGAUAUAUCACUGAUAGAAAAAUGAGUAGUAUUGUGGUUGGUGAUGUGUCAAUUAUCAAUAUGUUAUAUUACUUUUACAUUAACAAUGCAAUACUUAAUAAACUAAGGCUUAGUUUGGUAUUGAGAUCUAUCUAACGCUAUUAGAAAAAAUAGAGUUGAGGAAAAAACAUAGAGGGAUAUAUUUCUGCGUUCUCCGGUGGAACUGUAAAAAAUAUAUUGUAACCGACUCAUCGCAAUAUGCGAAACGCAAUAUUACGUACGGAAACAAAAAAAGUAUUUUUCCAACGUGCUUUCUCACCGCACCAAUCACCCCGCAAUCCCAAACGAAGCCUAAAUAGGAUUAUAGGACUUGAUUAUGAUAAUUCUAACAUUAAAUUUCAGUUAGAAAUUAUGAUUAAUUAUAUUUUUUAGUUUAUUUUACGUG